rnacentral:rRNA from 1 species
AUACGUAGGGUGCAAGCGUUAAUCGGAAUUACUGGGCGUAAAGCGUGCGCAGGCGGUUUUUUACGACCGUGGUGAAAUCCCCGGGCUACACCAGGACACUGCCUUUUUGCCUGGAAGGCUCGAGGGCGGCCGAGGGGGGUGGAAAUUCCCGUUUACCCGUGUAAUGCGUAGAUAUGCGGAGGAACACCGAUGGCGAAGGCAAUCCCCUGGGCCUGCACUGACGCUCAUGCACGAAAGCGUGGGGAGCAAACAGGAUUAGAUACCCUGGUAGUCCACGCCCUAAACGAUGUCAACUGGUUGUUGGGGAUUUAUUUUCUCAGUAACGAAGCUAACGCGUGAAGUUGACCGCCUGGGGAGUACGGCCGCAAGGUUAAAACUCAAAUGAAUUGACGGGG